GAUGAACGCUAGCGAUAGGCUUAACACAUGCAAGUCGAGGGGCAGCAUGGUCUUAGCUUGCUAAGACUGAUGGCGACCGGCGCACGGGUGCGUAACGCGUAUGCAACUUGCCUCACAGAGGGGGAUAACCCGUCGAAAGACGGACUAAUACCGCGUCCACUUGGGAUAGGGCAUCCUGACCCAAGGAACUUAACUUCGCUGUGAGAUAGGCAUGCGUCCCAUUAGCUAGUUGGUGAGGUAACAGCUCACCAAGGCGACGAUGGGUAGGUGAACUGAGAAGUUGCACCCCCACACAGGUAAUGAGACACAGACCAGGCUGCUACGGGAGGCUGCGGUGAGGAAGAUUGGUCAAUGGGCGAGAGCCUAAACCAGCCAAGUCGCGUAAAAGAUGACUGUCGUAUGGAUUCUAAACUUCUGUUAAACGAAAAUAACAGGAGUAACGUGUGGCUCCCUGCAGGUACCGUAUGAAUAAGCACCGGCUAACUCCGUG
rnacentral:rRNA from 1 species